rnacentral:tRNA from 1 species
GCAUCUGUAGUUCAAUUGGAUAGAACGUCUGACUUCGGAUCAGAAGGUUAUGGGUUCAACUCCUAUCAGGUGCGCCA